CCUACGGGAGGCAGCAGUGAGGAAUAUUGGUCAAUGGACGCAAGUCUGAACCAGCCAUGCAGCGUGCAGGAUGACGGCUCUAUGAGUUGUAAACUGCUUUUGUACGGGGGUAAACCCCAAUAUGUAUAUCGCUUUGCAAGUAUCGUAUGAAUAUGGAUCGGCUAACUCCGUGCCAGCAGCCGCGGUAAUACGGAGGAUCCGAGCGUUAUCCGGAUUUAUUGGGUUUAAAGGGUGCGUAGGCGGGUUGUUAAGUUAGAGGUGAAAUGUCGGGGCUCAACCCUGAAACUGCCGCUAAUACUGUCGGACGAGAGUAUAGUAGAGGUAGGCGGAAUGUAUGGUGUAGCGGUGAAAUGCUUAGAGAUCAUACAGAACACCGAUUGCGAAGGCAGCCUACUAAACUAUAUCUGACGCUGAGGCACGAAAGUGUGGGUAGCAAACAGGAUUAGAUACCCUGGUAGUC
rnacentral:rRNA from 1 species